AAGAUACCUACGUUUGCAGAAUUUGCUACGUAUGUUGCUGAUCAUUUAGAUUUUCUCCACAACUCUACAGUAUAUCAGAGUAGAAGAUUUUCUGAACGGGUUAGAAAAGUGAACUUUCAUUGGAGACCUGUAUAUCUCAACUGUAGGCCUUGUUCACAGCAGUAUGACGCAAUCUUUAAACUGGAAACAAUGAAUGAAGACACUUUUUAUUUAAAAAAGAAAUGUAAUAUAAACCUAGAUGUUCGCUUACACAGUAGAAUGGGAACUGAUGGGCGUACAUCACAAAACAGUGCAAUUCAAGCUUAUACAACAGUAGAUAAGAGGGUGAAAGAGAAACUCUACGCCAUUUUUGAACCAGAUUUCAAAUUAUUUGGAUACAGUAUUCAACAGUAUUUUAGUUAAAAGUAGUUGCUUUUUUUAAAAGUAGUUUCUAAAAAAAAAUUACAAUUUAUACGACCAGAAUAAACAUAUUUUAACAGGCAAACCAAUGCUUCCGGAAGUAGUAAAUCCAAGCUAAUGUAAAGUACAGGAAGUAGUAAAUCCAAGCUAAUGUAAAGUACAGGAAGUAGUAAAUCCAAGCUAAUGUAAAGUACAGGAAGUAGUAAAUCCAAGCUAA